rnacentral:tRNA from 1 species
GAGGGUAUAGCUCAGUGGCAGAGCACAUGCUCAGUAUGCACGAGGUCCAGGGUUCAAUCCCAGUAACUCCA